rnacentral:rRNA from 1 species
UGAGGAAUAUUGGUCAAUGGGCGUAAGCCUGAACCAGCCAAGUCGCGUGAGGGAAGACGGCCCUAUGGGUUGUAAACCUCUUUUGUCGGGGAGCAAAGCCGCCCACGUGUGGACGGAAGGAGAGUACCCGAAGAAAAAGCAUCGGCUAACUCCGUGCCAGCAGCCGCGGUAAUACGGAGGAUGCGAGCGUUAUCCGGAUUUAUUGGGUUUAAAGGGUGCGUAGGCGGCAUGGUAAGUCAGCGGUCAAAUCGAGGGGCUCAACCCCUUUCCGCCGUUGAAACUGCCGUGCUUGAGUGGGCGAGAAGUAUGCGGAAUGCGUGGUGUAGCGGUGAAAUGCAUAGAUAUCACGCAGAACUCCGAUUGCGAAGGCAGCAUACCGGCGCCCGACUGACGCUGAGGCACGAAAGCGUGGGGAUCGAACAGGAUUAGAUACC